rnacentral:lncRNA from 1 species
UACAUUUUGGAUGUAUGAAAGAAAACUUGACCAUUUGAAGAUGUAUGAAUAAAGAAAUGUACUAUAGAUACUACUUUAGGAAAACACUGUUUGUAGUCGUGAAAGAUGCCAAAUUGGCAGAGGCUCACGCUUCUUCUCUUUACACCAAACAGAGAGAGAACAUCACUGCCUGAAUUUAGCUUUGUGACUACACGAGCAAGCCCUGUUUUGUCCUGUCUGGAGACGACUGUUAAUAAUAUCAUCCUGUCAUUUGGUUUGCUCUCUAUCAACCUGACUAGAUGUUUACAUGUACUGUGAUGACCAUUUUAUCUUUACAGUCUGUACAAGGACAUCUGAGUCCAGACGUGUAUCAAAUGUGUGAGGUUAUGACCUUAGUUAGAAGUGCUUUCUUCCCUUUGUAGCAAUUUAAUUUGUAAAACACCUUAAGAAGGAACAAGGCCUUUUAGUUUCCUUAUGAGAUGUAUUAUGUCUCGGGCAAAUUGAGAAAAAUGUUUGGGAAAUCUAUGAAGCCCUGAGAGCAUUAAUUGAACAGUUUAGAAUGAAGAAAAUGAAUUAAAAAGUUAAACAU